rnacentral:rRNA from 1 species
GGAUAACAGGCUUAUCUCCCCCAAGAGUUCACAUCGACGGGGAGGUUUGGCACCUCGAUGUCGGCUCAUCGCAUCCUGGGGCUGUAGUCGGUCCCAAGGGUUGGGCUGUUCGCCCAUUAAAGCGGUACGCGAGCUGGGUUCAGAACGUCGUGAGACAGUUCGGUCCCUAUCCGUCGUGGGCGUAGGAAAUUUGAGAGGAGCUGUCCUUAGUACGAGAGGACCGGGAUGGACAUACCUCUGGUGUACCAGUUGUCGUGCCAACGGCAUAGCUGGGUAGCUAUGUGUGGACGGGAUAAGUGCUGAAAGCAUCUAAGCAUGAAGCCCCCCUCAAGAUGAGAUUUCCCAACUUCGGUUAUAAGAUCCCUCAAAGAUGAUGAGGUUAAUAGGUUCGAGGUGGAAGCAUGGUGACAUGUGGAGCUGACGAAUACUAA